rnacentral:rRNA from 1 species
GAUGAACGCUGGCGGCGUGCCUAAUACAUGCAAGUCGAGCGAACAGAUGAGGAGCUUGCUCCUCUGACGUUAGCGGCGGACGGGUGAGUAACACGUGGAUAACCUACCUAUAAGACUGGGAUAACUUCGGGAAACCGGAGCUAAUACCGUAUAAUAUAUUGAACCGCAUGGUUCAAUAGUGAGAGACGGUUGUGCUGUCACUUAUAGAUGGAUCCGCGCCGCAUUAGCUAGUUGGUAAGGUAACGGCUUACCAAGGCGACGAUGCGUAGCCGACCUGAGCGGUGGAUCGGCCACACUGGAACUGAGACACGGUCCAGAGUCCUAAGGGAGGCAGCAGUAGGGAAUCUUCCGCAAUGGGCGAAAGCUUGACGGAGCAACGCCGCGUGAGUGAUGAAGGUCUUCGGAUCGUAAAACUCUGUUAUUAGGGAAGAACAAAUGUGUAAGUAACUAUGCACGUCUUGACGGUACCUAAUCAGAAAGCCACGGCUAACUACGUG